ensembl:lncRNA
CACAACCAGGGUCAUUUUUUGACAAUCUUCCUCUCAUAGAGAAAAGGAUAAAUGCAUGGGGCCUUCUUUCUCAGAUUUACAUGUCAUAGGGCUUUUGGUUACCUUUUGUAAAGUGCUUGGUGAUGCCAAAUGUCUUUCUGACAUGCUCCAAUCAAGCUCUCUUAACCUAGCAAGGUCUGUGGAUCUAGUAGGUGCCCUUACAGACACAUUACAGGAAGGGCUGUGGAUCUAGUAGGUGCCCUUACAGACACAUUACAGGAAGGGCUGUGGAUCUAGUAGGUGCCCUUACAGACACAUUACAGGAAGGGCUGUGGAUCUAGUAGGUGCCCUUACAGACACAUUACAGGAAGGGCUGUGGAUCUAGUAGGUGCCCUUACAGACACAUUACAGGAAGGGCUGUGGAUCUAGUAGGUGCCCUUACAGACUUUUGAGAACUAUGGAAGGAGGUUGAAGAGAUUUCAG